rnacentral:tRNA from 1 species
GAGUGUGUAGCUCAGUGGUAGAGCGGCUGACUGCAGAUCAGCAGGUCCUCAGUUUAAAUCUGGGCGCGCCCUCA